GGGAUGAUCGCCGAUUACUGGCGGACAUCUGUUUUACACGGAGAGGGUCGGGGGUUCGAGUCCCUCACCGCCCACCA
rnacentral:tRNA from 1 species